UUGGUCCAUGUAAAAGUGAAUCCCACAUCGAAAGAAUAUUAUUGGAUGCAUUCAUGAACAUCAUAAUAUCUUUGAAUUUCGGUCAAUUUCUUCACAAAUUGGUCGUCGUCCGCGAAGAACAAAUUCGCUCGUUGCAAGCCCUAGGUUUCACGAAAUCUCAACGAUCCGCUCACAAUUACAAUUCCUCUCUCUUACGGUUCGAUUGUUGUUGCGAAGGCGUUCGGGAGUUACAGUUCGAUUGUUGCUGCGGAUCAGCUGGUUCUUCGAAUAGAAAUGGAUCUCUUAAGGGAAGCAAAUCGCCGAAAGCGUGAGGAGAAUGCUCUUAGAUUAAAUGCCAAUCCUCCCAUCCCAAGAAAAAAUGCAAGUGUGCUAACUUGGAAGCGCUCGUGCCUUCGAGAUAAGGAGGCGAGUACCUCUGCCAAUGCCCACUAUGUCGAUUCGGUUAUCCAUACGACAAGGAUACCCUUUCUAGGCUCGCCAAUAUUCGAAGGCACUGCUCAAGAUCCCCCUUCCACUCCUAGUUUCCACGAGGGAAGAGCCACUUUCUCUAGCCCUAGUUUUGAUGAAGACCCCCAUCGAAUUCAAGACAAGUUCAACUAGCCAUUCAUUCCUCAUCGCAAAGAUCGGAAGAAAUUGGAAGUGGAAAAGUUGUUGAGAAACCCCCCAAUUUUGCCGACUAUUGGGGAGCCUUUUUAGGGCUCAAUGCAACUCCUUGACUGUUGAAGGCUUAAGGGCGAGCAUUUCCAAGUUUUCCCUAGAUUGUUAGACACGGAUACUGUGGUCGACCCAAGGGUCGGUGCUCGGCUCAUGCAUUCCUCUAUUUUGCCUAGAGAUGAGCAUCGAUUCUUUGGAAACUUCCCCUAAGUCCUUGAUGAGCCCGAACGGAAGUUAAUUGAGGCGGUCCAAGGAAUAGUGAUGGCCAAUGCUCAAGGGAGGGCUUAUCGUCGAUUUAUGGAGAACCAAAUGGAGAGAUGGAGGGAGCGCAAGGCGAAAUGGGACGAACAUGAGCAACACCUCCAAUUACAAAAUAGUCAACUAGCAUGAGAGGUUGCGGAAUUUCACAUCAAAUUAUCAUAUGCUCACAUCAGUUCCUCAAGCCUCAAGGAGGAGGUUUGGGAUCUUUGUUGAGCCAAUGAAACAUGGGAACAAAAGUGUGGUGAGCUCUAGACGACAUAUGAGACUUUUUCAAGAGCAUGCCCUGCAAGUUGAUGAGUUAGCUCGUUGUCGAUCUCGUGAGCGUGCUUGUCAAGCCCAGCGGGAAGAGGAACUCUCUGUUGCACGGGCUAAAGUAGUCAGGGAUUAUUGCCUCUCCAAAGAUUGCCAUGUGAGGAAGGAGCGCUAUGCCUCCUGCUUCACCAAAUUUGGCUUCUACCUUGCUCGCUCUUAUUUGGAAACACAACGCCCAGAGGAAAUAUUUCCAGAGCUAGUUUUCACGCUUGAAGUGGUAGAUUUCGAUGCCUCUAAUUGGUGAUGUUACGACCCAAAUCCCAUGAGCCCUAAGACUUAUGUCGCUUAUCUCCUUGAGGAUGACCUGAGCAACUUGACAGGCCCUUGGGAGCCAUAUUCCCUAGGGUCAAAGGGCGACAAGAUGAUUAACGCCCUUCAAAACUUGGGGGGGCUACUAGUCAGGAUAGGGUUGAGGAGUUCCCCACUCAUCACGCCUCUCCAUUGACUAUGCAUGAAGAGGGCAAGAUCUCGGGCACCUCAGCUGGCAUCGAUCCUCCUCCUUCCUUUGGUGUCCCCAACAAGCAUAUAGGGUAGAUUUUUAGGGAGAUGUAUUUUCACUUUCAUGUCUUUUGACUUUAUCAUGUAGCUCUCUUCUUUUCUUGAAUAUAAUUUAGCUUUUAGCUUCCUUUUUUCAUUUCUCUGCAUCAUUGAUUAUUGCUGUAUCUAAAUGUUAGUUUUCCAUUAGUUAAAAAGAAAAUAACUAGUUAAAUGCACAAUAAUAAAUUGAGGCAAGCUAAGAGGACCCUUUAUGUUAGUAUGUCCGUUACGGGUUUGACUUUAGGGUUUCUAUCAUUCGGGGCUUGAAUUGUUAAAUUAUAUUGCAUGACAAACGAUGAGUAGUUUCAUUUUAUUUUAACAAUUUAGAUUGCACAUAAAAUUUAAACUUAUGGCAGGCCUUUAGUUACCUCUAUUACAAUUAGCAUAAAAAAAUGAUUUGCACCUUCUGAAAUAACUAUAAUGCCAUUAUACUAUUUAGAGUCAAGACCUUCCAUGUUAGCAAUAAGAUACCCUUCUACUGAAGUUAUCUUAACAUUUUUAUUGCUUGUUUUAACCCCAGCUAAGGAAUCCUCAACUUUUCUUAAAACCAAAUCCCAUACAUUAGUUGAUUCUCCAUAUAUUGGACUAGGCACCUGGGUAAUGCAAGGGACUUUGCUUCCUUUGUCAAUCCCUUCAUUAAUCCUUCGUUUGCUUAUUUUGGUUGCAUAACAACUAUACCCAAAUUAAUGUCAAUAGAAUUCUCCUUCAGUGGAGUUUCAAUAUUAUUUGUAGUAGGCAAACUACCUACCUUCUGUAGUGUCAGCAGCCAAUAUAUCUCCUUCCACAACAACUCCAUCAUUUGAAUCAACCAUCUUCGAUGGUGUCGCAGUGACUAUUCCUACAAUUGCCAUCCCUGUCUAGAAUCGGAUGCAUGAAAGCUAUCCUCCUCGCAGUUCUCACCUCCAGUUUGAUUUAUAGCCUGCAUACCCACUAAAUCACCAGCUUCUUGCAAUUGUAAGAUGUGACCCACAUGGCUUUCCUUGACAAUUGUGACAUGAUUCAUUUCAACGUUUUUCUCCUUCGUUAGAGCUUCAAUAAUUGCUCCAAUAGCUGCCCUUCCUCCCUUGUCAUCUUGAAUAACUUACUUCUUGCAAUCAUUAAUUCGAAUCUUAGGGGCUCAGUAGUCUUAGGAAUACCUCCCAUCUAUUAUAGCAUAACCGUUAAGCUAACGCCUGUGCUUUUUAGAAAUUGCUUCCAAUGUCGUUUAAUGAAACCUUGCCCUUUCCACCACCUGUUUUACUAUGGUAGGACACAUCAUUCUCACAAUAGGUCUUAACACAUCGUUAAAACCAUCAAUGAAUUUCAACACAAAGUAAGACUCCUUCAAGGUCAGUUGAUAAUUAAGCAUCACCGCUUUCAAUUCCUCAAUUUUGACCUCAUAAUCCAUUAUUUACCCUUUUUGCGUUAGAUUAUUGAAUUCAUCUCUAAGUUGAUUUAAGGAAGUAGAGUACUCCUUAGAGAAGCAUUCAACAUGAACACUAACUUGAUAUUUUUGUGAGAAUAGAAUCAUCAAGUUGUCCAGCUUUCAUUAGAGGUUAUCCAAUUCAUUUCUCGUUGCGACCCAUUCCUCCUUGAGUGUUUUCUCCCUUGACUAUGCACUUCCACCAAGUGUUGCGGCCUUUUGCACAGUUUAAUUUCCUUUGAAAAUCUUUCAUAAAUUAACUUGCUCUACUACGAUCUUUCCAAAAGCACAAUUGGUUUCUGUUGCUGCUAAGAAUCGAUUAGAAAUUGCCUCACAAGCAGCGACCUAGAUCAUUGGAUAGUCGAUACCCUCACAGCAGUCUCCUAGGGGAAUUGAUCGCCUCACAGCAGUUCAAACUUAGAGGUGCUUGGUCAAUUAGCCAAGUAUUCCUCUUGCUUCGCCUUUGCAAUUCAAACUUAGAGGUGCUCGGUCUGCUUUGCCUUCAAUUGUCAGACAACACCUACUAAAUUUCACAAUUGAGAGUCAAUUAUCGAAUUCUCCUUCGAAAUUCAAUUUGAGAGACUUGCUUGUUCUGAAUCUGCUACUAGAGGUUGUAGUUAGAAUUCGACAGUCAAAAAUAUGUUGUGUUCGUUGAUGUUCACAGUCAAGCCUAGAGUUGCUUCUGACUGCACCUUUCUCCUCGCUUGACCUCUGGUUUUGCAACUAAUCAACGACUGCAAUUGACAACAGCCACAACUCCUACUUUCUCACCUAACUCACUCGUGAACCCCCUAUUCAUUUGCGUCGCCAACUUCGACAAAUCUCCCGCCCCAGUCGUCAGCUUUAGUUGCAAACCUCUUGGCCAUCCGCAUCACCACCUUCGACAAACUCCUACACCAAUCACGAAUGUUGUCUAUUCACAUCGUCUUAGGUGUGCUUGCCUAUUGACCCACUCUAAUUGCGAAUGCUUCUCUAUUUGCGUUGCCUCUAAUGUGCUCGCCUCUGGUAACGCUUUGUGCGCGUCACCACCGGUGUGCUCACCUAUCAACCCGCCUUUGUUUGGCUGCCAAGACCGUGGGCUUUGGAUUGCCUGACUUCUCGACCUUUCGUAACUUAAUCGACUUCGUUCAUCCCUUUGAUAAUCGCCUGAACAACGCCUCUGAUCCGAAAUUGUUUUCUAGAAUUUGCAGCCUUGAAUCAAAGAAUUAGAGGGAAAGAAUUUCAAUAUCAUUUCACACAUAAUCCAUAUUCUUACAAGUGGCCCUUUUAUAAACAUAGCUAGCUGUUAAUUGAAUUCCUAAUAGGCACAUGUGUGCUCCUAAUAGAUUACAAAACAUCUUCUAACAAACUAUUAUAACUCUAUUAUAAUAUUGCCCCUCUAUUGCUCCUAGAGUCAUGACAAUAGUGAUCCCUCAAAGUGUGUUAUUGAAGAUUUGAUGUAACUCUUACUCAAAAUUUGGAUCUCUUCUCUAUGCAAGUCUUCCUGCCGCUCUUGUGUACAAGGCAUUUCUUUCAUACAAAUCCUCCCUCAUAAUGUAUUUCAAAGCUAUGAAUGCAUAGUCUUUCCUAUGACUUUUUUGUUGUAGAGUUUAUUUUUUCCCUGUAUAAUGUGCUUCACCUUUCAAGUUCUUGUGAAGAAGGGGUUGAAAACAUCAAUACUAUUUCAAGCCAUAGAUUGCCCUGUUGGUGAAGCUCUUGGACUGAUACUGAAUAAACAAACCUGGGAAUUAUUCAUUGUUCUUCUAAGGCCAUUUGUACUAUUGACCUGUAAGUUCCAAAAACUCUGCCACCGUUAACCCCCCACCCAAAAAAAUAAAAAAUAAAACAAAAGAAAGGGUAUAACCUUAGGUGAUUCCUAUAGUUGUCAGGUCCAUGGGAGAUUCAAUUGAGUCAUUCCUCUUUCAUUGUUGUGGGCCCCAUCAGAGACUCAGACCAUGAUGGGCCCCUCGAUUCCUCAAGAAAAUCAGACCUAGCAUGAUAAGGCGCAUCAUGUGAUUGGUUGGCCAAUAUUAUGCCCUACAUCAGUUAGAGAUGGAAUAACAUAGCUGACAGUAAUUGCUUUUAGGAUGUGAGCCCGUAACACAUAGUUGUACAUCUGACCCCAAUUGAGGGAUGCAAAUGAAUAAGGUGUCCCGUGCAUCUCUCUGACCAUGUUGAGGAGAACAGGUGUGAGUCAAAUCAUGACAUAUUGAAAAUUAUAUUCUUGGCAGGUACACCCAUUCUACCAGGUAUCACCCUUGCUAGUAAAAAAUACAAAUCUUUUUAUCUAGGGGGAAAGAACUAGGAUGAAAAAGUUUUAAGAAUUUUUCUUCAAGAGCACGAUUGAUUCUGUUAGAUUUAAUUGUCUGCUUCCAUGACUGCCCUCUUUACCACAUAAUUAAUUUGAUUCUCGACUUCUUAAUCUCUGACCAUUUCAGAAGUCCUUGUUCAUGUUGCAGUAGGUUUAGUAGUCAGAUCUCUUAUAUUAAUAAUAGCAACAGCUUUUGUCUGCUUUUAUGUAGUAUUUGGAGAGAGAACUUUAUAAUGUGUUUUCAAGAGGAGUAAGAUAUAUUAAUAUGGAUUUCCUUCUUUUUAGUCUUAGUAUAUUCUUUGUUAACUGAAUAUAUUAAAAAUAUAUUUCAACAGAUAUAUUCUUAUUAUAGCACAAAGUUCUGGAUAUUGAUGGAUCACAAUAAAGUUGUUAGCUUUCAUUUAAGAAGCUUAAUCCUAAUAAAACCAGCAUUUGUUUUGUGUUAAAAUGCGGAAAUAUAGAAUAAAACCAAGUUAGGACACUUACCUUGAUGAUUCCAUAAGAGUAGCAAUUGAUUUAAUUCAUUCCAAGCCUUAGUGUAAAUCAUUAAUGGAAAUACACUGUCAAUCACAAUCCUAUUUAUCAUAAGUUUUGUUUCAAUAUGCGGAAAAUGGACCUUUUGAUGGGAUGGGAGAGUUUUUGCGCCUUGAUUCUUGUUUUUUUUUUUUUUUUUUCACCUUUGCAUGGUCCAUAUAUAUAGUUGCCCAACAGUUGCAACUACUUUAAAAAUAAAAUAAAAUUGGUGCAACCAUUUUCAACAGUUGCAUCUUUUUAAAUAUAUAUUAUAUAUAUUUUUUUUAUUUUAAGCAAAACGGAUCUGGGUCUGGGUCAACCCGUCAUGGGAGCCCAGCCCGAUCCAAAUACCAACAUUUUGUGUAAACAGACUCGUUUCAGUUAAAAUCCUAACUCAAAAUCUAUUUAAAUCAUAACAUGCUAUUGACAUAUAAGCAGCAGUCUGAAAGCAAAAAUGUUCAAUCAAAAGAUCAAACAAGUUUUGGUUUAUUGGGGUCAAGGCAAGCUUGGAAAGUAGGUUGAUUUGUGGCAGUUUUCUUGCUUAGCUGAGUUCUCCUAUUUGUGAAUUAACUGAAAUGUGAGGCCCUAUCAGUUGUUGGGUCUAUUCAAUGAUGAACAAUGUGCCUUAACCUUUCCUUUUUAGUUCUUUGUUUGCGUUCUUAUUUCUUUUGUCACAAUGAUAAUGCUCCAAGAUUGGGUAUACUUGUGCAACUUUAUCUGUCUAUAUAUUCUCUUAAUGAAAUGAUACACACUUGAAUAAAAUGCCUGGUUGCUGCCGCAAAGCAGAUGAUGCAUUUAUUCUUUAUUCAAGUUAUAAUUUCCUUUGCAUCCUAACUUGCUUAGUAUUCUUCUCUUCAUGUUGGAAGACCAUUUCCAUUGUUUAAGAUGUGGAGGUGCUUUUGUGAUAUCUCAGACCAGGGGUAAUGGCUGGCAAGGCUGCGAAAAUGGAAGUUAUUGCUUUUCCAUCCCUUCCAAAGCAAUCCCAUCUUUACACCUCCGCAGAUGAGGUUAAUCAGCUCUCUUCUUGAUUUGCGACCGGAAAAGUGGGGCCUGCCAGCAUUUGAAGACUGUAAACCUCUAUCACAAUUUUUCAAGCAAAGUAGGGUUUGGUUGUUAUCGAUCAUUUUUAUGAAAUUCAGUCACCUGUGUUUUGCAGGGAUAGAGGGUACAUUACCCCUAGAACCUGGGGUAUAUUGGGGGCCCCGUUGUUAAAGGAUUUGGCCGCGGCUCAAAGGUGCUUGGCAUUUCUACAGGCUAUUCAACUGACCUUUCGGAGCAUCCUCCUGGGGUAUGCUUUGGUUGGGUCUGGAUGGUCGACACGUGGGCUUUAUAAGAUGGUCAUGAGUAUUGGUUGGAAUCCCUACUUCAACAAUGCUUGAGAGAAGACCAUAAGAGAGCACUUGACCUUCCAUUGUAAGCCAAAGUCCAGAGAAGACCCCAUAUCUGAAACUGAAACCCAUCCUCUUCCCACAUGGAUAACAGUCAUCUAUGGCUUCUCCUAAACCUUUAUUUGUUUGAUUAUUUAUUUGUUUAUUCUCACUUGAUCAAAUUGACAAGUGAUUGUUGUUCUCUAAAGAUCCCACGAGAAUUUAUGUAGUCACUACACGCUAUUAUUGUUAUUUAGAACGUAAAGUCGUAAUAUUAAUCUCAUCAAUGUGCAAAAUAAUGAC